rnacentral:misc_RNA from 1 species
GUCGUAACAAGGUUUCCGUAGGUGAACCUGCGGAAGGAUCAUUACCACACCAAGAUCCACGAUCUUACUUCUUGUGAAUUUGGCUGGCCUUGACGCAUAUUACACUAUCAGUGUGAUUGUUGAGUCGCCGGCUGCUCAGUAAAGCAAACUGGUGCUCCCUCGUCUUUUUUGCGUCUUGAAGAAAGAGACUUGGUCCGCUUGAGGAUCAAGGCAGAAUAGAUAGAGCAGUGCCCUCCUAAAUAAAUUAUGUGCAUGACCCUAAUUAACUAAAGCAAAGCCUAUGUAUUGUUCAACGAUACAGGCAAACUAGAAAUUCAUUUACAACUUUCAGCGAUGGAUGUCUAGGUUCCCA